rnacentral:tRNA from 1 species
GCUGGAAUGUAUUUCAAUGGUAGAAUGUUUGCCUAUCAUAUAUGAGGCACUGGGUUCAAUUCCCAGUACCAUUA